CAUCAUCAAAAAGCUUGACAUAACAUCUACUAUCACAAAAAUCAAACUAGUACUAGCAGUUAAAUUAGGUGACAUUACACACACAGCACAUACAUACAUAUCUACUUGUAUCAAAAAGCUGGUGCAAACUAAUACUAUCUCCGAUUCUAUAUAUAAGAAAUAUUUAACUUUUUAGAUUCAUCAUAAAAUUUAUGUAAUUAAACUAUAUUAUUGUUUAAAUACAUUAAUUUCACAAUA
rnacentral:lncRNA from 1 species